rnacentral:rRNA from 1 species
GGGACACGUGGUAUCCUGUCUGAAUAUGGGGGGACCAUCCUCCAAGGCUAAAUACUCCUGACUGACCGAUAGUGAACCAGUACCGUGAGGGAAAGGCGAAAAGAACCCCGGCGAGGGGAGUGAAAAAGAACCUGAAACCGUGUACGUACAAGCAGUGGGAGCCUCUUAAUGGGGUGACUGCGUACCUUUUGUAUAAUGGGUCAGCGACUUAUAUUCUGUAGCAAGGUUAACCGAAUAGGGGAGCCGAAGGGAAACCGAGUCUUAACUGGGCGUUAAGUUGCAGGGUAUAGACCCGAAACCCGGUGAUCUAGCCAUGGGCAGGUUGAAGGUUGGGUAACACUAACUGGAGGACCGAACCGACUAAUGUUGAAAAAUUAGCGGAUGACUUGUGGCUGGGGGUGAAAGGCCAAUCAAACCGGGAGAUAGCUGGUUCUCCCCGAAAGCUAUUUAGGUAGCGCCUCGUGAAUUCAUCUCCGGGGGUAGAGCACUGUUUCGGCAAGGGGGUCAUCCCGACUUACCAACCCGAUGCAAACUGCGAAUACCGGAGAAUGUUAUCACGGGAGACACACGGCGGGUGCUAACGUCCGUCGUGAAGAGGGAAACAACCCAGACCGCCAGCUAAGGUCCCAAAGUCAUGGUUAAGUGGGAAACGAUGUGGGAAGGCCCAGACAGCCAGGAUGUUGGCUUAGAAGCAGCCAUCAUUUAAAGAAAGCGUAAUAGCUCACUGGUCGAGUCGGCCUGCGCGGAAGAUGUAACGGGGCUAAACCAUGCACCGAAGCUGCGGCAGCGACACUAUGUGUUGUUGGGUAGGGGAGCGUUCUGUAAGCCUGUGAAGGUGUACUGUGAGGUAUGCUGGAGGUAUCAGAAGUGCGAAUGCUGACAUAAGUAACGAUAAAGCGGGUGAAAAGCCCGCUCGCCGGAAGACCAAGGGUUCCUGUCCAACGUUAAUCGGGGCAGGGUGAGUCGACCCCUAAGGCGAGGCCGAAAGGCGUAGUCGAUGGGAAACAGGUUAAUAUUCCUGUACUUGGUGUUACUGCGAAGGGGGGACGGAGAAGGCUAUGUUGGCCGGGCGACGGUUGUCCCGGUUUAAGCGUGUAGGCUGGUUUUCCAGGCAAAUCCGGAAAACCAAGGCUGAGGCGUGAUGACGAGGCACUACGGUGCUGAAGCAACAAAUGCCCUGCUUCCAGGAAAAGCCUCUAAGCAUCAGGUAACAUCAAAUCGUACCCCAAACCGACACAGGUGGUCAGGUAGAGAAUACCAAGGCGCUUGAGAGAACUCGGGUGAAGGAACUAGGCAAAAUGGUGCCGUAACUUCGGGAGAAGGCACGCUGAUAUGUAGGUGAAGCGACUUGCUCGUGGAGCUGAAAUCAGUCGAAGAUACCAGCUGGCUGCAACUGUUUAUUAAAAACACAGCACUGUGCAAACACGAAAGUGGACGUAUACGGUGUGACGCCUGCCCGGUGCCGGAAGGUUAAUUGAUGGGGUUAGCGGUAACGCGAAGCUCUUGAUCGAAGCCCCGGUAAACGGCGGCCGUAACUAUAACGGUCCUAAGGUAGCGAAAUUCCUUGUCGGGUAAGUUCCGACCUGCACGAAUGGCGUAAUGAUGGCCAGGCUGUCUCCACCCGAGACUCAGUGAAAUUGAACUCGCUGUGAAGAUGCAGUGUACCCGCGGCAAGACGGAAAGACCCCGUGAACCUUUACUAUAGCUUGACACUGAACAUUGAGCCUUGAUGUGUAGGAUAGGUGGGAGGCUUUGAAGUGUGGACGCCAGUCUGCAUGGAGCCGACCUUGAAAUACCACCCUUUAAUGUUUGAUGUUCUAACGUUGGCCCCUAAUCGGGGUUGCGGACAGUGUCUGGUGGGUAGUUUGACUGGGGCGGUCUCCUCCUAAAGAGUAACGGAGGAGCACGAAGGUUGGCUAAUCCUGGUCGGACAUCAGGAGGUUAGUGCAAUGGCAUAAGCCAGCUUGACUGCGAGCGUGACGGCGCGAGCAGGUGCGAAAGCAGGUCAUAGUGAUCCGGUGGUUCUGAAUGGAAGGGCCAUCGCUCAACGGAUAAAAGGUACUCCGGGGAUAACAGGCUGAUACCGCCCAAGAGUUCAUAUCGACGGCGGUGUUUGGCACCUCGAUGUCGGCUCAUCACAUCCUGGGGCUGAAGUAGGUCCCAAGGGUAUGGCUGUUCGCCAUUUAAAGUGGUACGCGAGCUGGGUUUAGAACGUCGUGAGACAGUUCGGUCCCUAUCUGCCGUGGGCGCUGGAGAACUGAGGGGGGCUGCUCCUAGUACGAGAGGACCGGAGUGGACGCAUCACUGGUGUUCGGGUUGUCAUGCCAAUGGCACUGCCCGGUAGCUAAAUGCGGAAGAGAUAAGUGCUGAAAGCAUCUAAGCACGAAACUUGC